UGCGCAGGCGGAACUUUAAGUCAGUGGUGAAAUCUUGCCGCUUAACGGUAAAAUUGCCAUUGAUACUGAAGUUCUUGAAUAUGGUUGAGGUAGGCGGAAUGUGUUGUGUAGCGGUGAAAUGCAUAGAUAUGACACAGAACUCCGAUUGCGAAGGCAGCUUACUAAACCAUUAUUGACGCUGAGGCACGAAAACGUGGGGAGCGAACAGGAUUAGAUACCCUGGUAGUCC
rnacentral:rRNA from 1 species